GUGCUGGCUUCAGCAGCACAUACACUAAAAUUGGAACGAUACAGAGAAGAUUAACGUGGCCCCUGCGCAAGAAUGACACACAAAUUCAUGAAGUGUUCCAUAUUUUU
rnacentral:snRNA from 1 species